UUAAGGUGGUACCCAACACUUUCACUAAAAUUAAUUUGGCUCGUUUAAUUUUCAUAAAAUUUUGUCAAAGUAUUUACUUUGAUCCCUUAACAAAACUAUAAAAAUUAAAAAAAAAUUUAACCAACUGUUUUGUCAGAAAAAUAACACUGGUUAAAUAGUAGUUUGACAAACACCAAUGUUGAUCAUUGAGAAGCUUAAUAUUCCUUUUACAAC
rnacentral:lncRNA from 1 species